rnacentral:rRNA from 2 species
CGCUUCUUUUUCCACCGGAGCUUGCUCCACCGGAAAAAGAGGAGUGGCGAACGGGUGAGUAACACGUGGGUAACCUGCCCAUCAGAAGGGGAUAACACUUGGAAACAGGUGCUAAUACCGUAUAACAAUCAAAACCGCAUGGUUUUGAUUUGAAAGGCGCUUUCGGGUGUCGCUGAUGGAUGGACCCGCGGUGCAUUAGCUAGUUGGUGAGGUAACGGCUCACCAAGGCCACGAUGCAUAGCCGACCUGAGAGGGUGAUCGGCCACAUUGGGACUGAGACACGGCCCAAACUCCUACGGGAGGCAGCAGUAGGGAAUCUUCGGCAAUGGACGAAAGUCUGACCGAGCAACGCCGCGUGAGUGAAGAAGGUUUUCGGAUCGUAAAACUCUGUUGUUAGAGAAGAACAAGGAUGAGAGUAACUGUUCAUCCCUUGACGGUAUCUAACCAGAAAGCCACGGCUAACUACGUGCCAGCAGCCGCGGUAAUACGUAGGUGGCAAGCGUUGUCCGGAUUUAUUGGGCGUAAAGCGAGCGCAGGCGGUUUCUUAAGUCUGAUGUGAAAGCCCCCGGCUCAACCGGGGAGGGUCAUUGGAAACUGGGAGACUUGAGUGCAGAAGAGGAGAGUGGAAUUCCAUGUGUAGCGGUGAAAUGCGUAGAUAUAUGGAGGAACACCAGUGGCGAAGGCGGCUCUCUGGUCUGUAACUGACGCUG